GGGCCGGUAGCUCAGGGGUAGAGCAGCAGACUUUUAAUCUGCGGGCCGUGGGUUCGAUUCCCACCCGGCUCA
rnacentral:tRNA from 1 species